rnacentral:rRNA from 1 species
GUGGGGAAUAUUGGACAAUGGGGGGAACCCUGAUCCAGCCAUGCCGCGUGUGUGAAGAAGGCCUUUUGGUUGUAAAGCACUUUAAGCGAGGAGGAGGCUACCGAGAUUAAUACUCUUGGAUAGUGGACGUUACUCGCAGAAUAAGCACCGGCUAACUCUGUGCCAGCAGCCGCGGUAAUACAGAGGGUGCAAGCGUUAAUCGGAUUUACUGGGCGUAAAGCGCGCGUAGGUGGCCAAUUAAGUCAAAUGUGAAAUCCCCGAGCUUAACUUGGGAAUUGCAUUCGAUACUGGUUGGCUAGAGUAUGGGAGAGGAUGGUAGAAUUCCAGGUGUAGCGGUGAAAUGCGUAGAGAUCUGGAGGAAUACCGAUGGCGAAGGCAGCCAUCUGGCCUAACACUGACACUGAGGUGCGAAAGCAUGGGGAGCAAACAGGAUUAGAAACCCCUGUAGUCC